rnacentral:rRNA from 2 species
GCUCAGGAUGAACGCUAGCUACAGGCUUAACACAUGCAAGUCGAGGGGUAGCAGGGUAGCAAUACCGCUGACGACCGGCGCACGGGUGAGUAACACGUAUCCAACCUUCCCAUAACUCGGGGAUAGCCUUUCGAAAGAAAGAUUAAUACCCGAUAGUACUUAUAUAAGGCAUCUUAAAUAAGUUAAAGAUUUAUUGGUUAUGGAUGGGGAUGCGUUCCAUUAGAUAGUUGGUGAGGUAACGGCUCACCAAGUCUUCGAUGGAUAGGGGUUCUGAGAGGAAGGUCCCCCACAUUGGUACUGAGACACGGACCAAACUCCUACGGGAGGCAGCAGUGAGGAAUAUUGGUCAAUGGGCGAGAGCCUGAACCAGCCAA